rnacentral:rRNA from 1 species
GAUCUUUAUAUAUUUUAUUAAUUUAAUAAUUAUUAGUUAUUUUUUAUUUUGAUUUAUAUGUAUAUUAUAUUGGGGUAAUAAUAAAAUUAAAAAAAUUUUUAUUUAAUAAAACAAUAAAUAUAUGUAUUUUUGAUCUUGUAUUAUUGAUUAAAAGAAAAAGUUACCUUAGGGAUAACAGCAUAAUGAUUUUUGAGAGUUCUUAUUGAUAAAAUAGUUUGU